GGCCCUGCAGACAGCCCCCUCCCUUCCCCCUCUCCACUCCCCUCCUCCCCCCGCCGGCGGGACUCGCUCUUUUUCUUCUGUUUUUGUCUUUUCUCUUUUUUCUCCCUCCUCCUCCACGAGAGCCGCGGGGCAGUGGGAGGGAUCCUGCCCGCCCGGCUUUCCCAGGCCGGGAUGGAGGCUCCGCGGCGGAGGCCCGGUGGCCGCGGCCGGGGCCGGGGCGCCCCGCGGGCCGGUGCUCGGCGCUGCCGGGCCGCCGCCGGGGCGCCGGGACUGCGCUGAGGAGCGGCGGCGGCGGAGCGGCCCCGAGGACGGCGGAGGGACGGGCGCUUCCUGCCGCCUUCCCCCGGCCCGCUGCCACCUCCCAGUAAACAUGGACGCCCGGUCCCUGGACGCGGCGGUGCAGAGCGCCCUGCGCGCCCUGUACCCGCCCUUCGAGGCCACGGCGCCCACGGUGCUCGGCCAGGUCUUCCGCCUCCUGGAGACCAGCUACCGGGGUGACGGGCUCUGCUGCCUCCUCGAGUUCCUCAUCCCGGCCAAGCGCCUCUUCGAGCACGUGCGGCAGGCGGCCUGCGCCCCCUACUUCAACUGCGUCUUCCUCCACGAAGGCUGGCCCCUGUGCCUGCGCGAGAAGGUCGUGGUCCACCUGGCGCCGCUGAACCCCCUCCUGCUGCGCUCGGGGGACUUCUACCUGCAGGCCGAGCCCUGCGGGGAGCGGGCGGCUCGCCUCACCGUCAAGCACCUCUCCCGCGACCUGCGCACCGUGCGCGAGACGCCCGUCCCCGAGGCCACCUACGCGCUGCUCUUCACCAACGAGUGGCUGGAGGAGAUCAACUGCGAGCACGACGGCGCCCCGCUGCACUCCUGCCUGGUGGCCACUGAGGACGGCAUCGCCCCGCUGCCCUGGAGCCGGAUCGCCACGCCGGAGUUCGUCGACAAGCCCGACGCGGGGCCCGGCUGCGCGCGAGCGGGAGCGUCGUCUCCCACGGGAGUAUCACCUCCCGUGGAAGCAUCGUCUCCCGUGGAAGCAUCAUCUCCCGUGGAAGCAUCGUCUCCCGCAGGAGCAUCCUCUCCCACGGGAGCCCCGAGCUGCGGCGCUCCCGAGGCGGCCGCGGAGCCGGCACCGCCGGAUGCCCCCGGGCCCCUCUGCACGGCCGACGCACCGGGGCUCUACAGCAACAUCGCGGGCCCCGUCCCGGGCUGCAAAGAUGCCCCUCAGAAGUCCGGCCCGGGAAAAUACCCGGGACUCAUCAAAGUGGACCAGCUGGGGCCGUGGAAGAAGCCGGCCGCGCUGGCCGUGCCCAGCCUGCGCGAGAUCGUCAGCCGGAACCUGGAGGGGGAGUACGUGGACCUGCUGGAGCCGUCCCGGGAGCAGCGGGGGCUGCUGGCCCGGGCCCUGCCGGCCACUCGCCAAGCAGGCACCGAGGCCGGGCUGCCGCGGCCCGCCGGGGCGCCGGGGGCGGAGGGCUGGCCCUGCGGCCCGGGGCCGGGCUCGGGGGGCCCCUGCGCGCCCUGCCUGGGCAGGGGGCUGGGCGGGGAGCCCGGGUGCCACGGCCCCCGGUGCCGCUACCGCGACUCCUACCUGGCCGCCCUGCAGAACCCCGUGAGCUUCGGCCCCGGGCUCAUGGCAGCCAUCCUGGAGGAGCCCGACGGCCCCGGCCACGCGCCGGCCCCGGCCGCCGGCAAGAGCCCGGCGCAGCGGUGGAGGCGGGCCGGCCCCGGCGGCAGCCCCGCGCCGCUGCCCCGCUGCCCGCACGCGAGGGCGGAGGAUGCCGGCAAGCAGGGCGGCCUCAGGCUGCUCAAGUCCCCGGCGCGCUCGGAGGCGGCGGGCUCCGGCCACAGGUUCUCCUUCCUGAAGGGCCAGCGGCACGGCGCAUCGCCCGGGGACGGCGCCGCCGGGGACCGAGCCGCCGGCCACCACGAGGGGCCCUGGAAGAAGAUGUCGGCGAUUUACUCCCCCAGGAUGAGCAGAGCUAAACCCGCUGGGAAAGGUCCGGAUCCGGCGGCCGGCGGCCCCACGGAGGACAGGUCCCUGCAGGAGCCUCGGCGAGCCGAGCCGGGCGCCGCGCGGCCGCCGGCCUGGCAGGAGCUGCACGCCGGGCUGCUGCUCUCGGGCAUCGUGUGCCUGCCAGGCAGCACCGACAAGCUGGGCCGGGCCCUCCUCCAGGUGACCACCAGCGGCAGCGCCUGGGAGGCCGCGUGGUGCUCCGCCGGCGAGCUGGCACGGCUCGUCCUCUACCUCUGCUCCCUCCCCAGGAAGGAGGCGAAGGACGGCGGGCUGACGGUUCUCGUGGACGCCAGGAAGCAGCCUCCCUCGCCCGUGCUGUACGCGGCGCUGGGCUCCGUGCAGAGCGCGGCGCCCGGCUCCAUCCACGCGCUGCUGCUGCUGGCCGAGAAGGAGCCGCCCGCGCCCCGCGAGAGGCUGCCCGGCGUGCAGGUGGAGACCCUGCCGUCGCUGAGGGCGCUGGGCCGCUACGUCGACAGCUCCCAGGUGACGCCGGACCUGGACGGCACCUUCCCCUACCGCCACAGCGAGUGGGUGCAAUUCUUCCAGAAGCUGCACCCCUUCACCGCCGGCCUGCGGCAGGCGUCGGCGCUGCUGCGGAGCUGCAUCCAGGAGCUGCGCGGAGCCGAGAGCCCCGCGGGGCCGCAGGAGGUGGCUGCCCGCGUCGCCCGGCCCCAGGAGCUGAUGCGGAGGGUGCUCAGCGACCCGCAGCUCCUCGGCCUGCAGCGCGACGGCGGUGCCCUGCUGGCCCGGCUGCGCAGGGAGGCCGCCCGCCUCGGCGCCUCGCCCCACGUCAGGACCAGCCUGGAGGCGGCCGAGGGGCUCUACGAGCAGCUGGAGGAGGACGUGCACGGCCUGGUGUCCCAGUCCAACCGCUGCCUGGAGCGCCUGGAGCUCCUGCGCAGGACCCGGCAGCUGGAGGCCGAGUUCGGCGAGCUCGGGCGCUGGCUGGACGGCGAGGCGGCGGCUCGCCUGCAGGACAUGGGCGCCCGGGAGUGCGGCCCCGACGGCUUCGAGGAGACCUUCGGGCACUUCGAGGAAUUCCUCGCUCAGGCAACAGCGCGGUACCACCGCGGGCUGGCUCUGUGUCAGGAGGCGGCCGAGGUCCAAGACUCGGCUUUCCCGGAGGCAGAGCCCUUCCAGGCGGCCGCGGCCCUUUUCCGGACCAAGCUGGCGAGCUUCCACGCGGCGGCGGAGCGGCGGCGGGCUGAGCUGGCAGCGCUGCAGGAGCUCCGCGGCUUCUCCAGCAAGGUCGCCUGGCUCCGCCUGGCCGGCACGGGCUGCUCGGCGCGCGGGCAGAGCCAGCCGGGGAACCUGGAGGCGCUGCGGGGCCUCGAGAGCUCCUUGCAGAGGCUCUCAGUGGACUUCUCGCUGGAGAAGCUGCAGGAGAUGCAGGCCCACGUGCGCGCCAUGCGGAGCAGCGGCGGGCCGGCGGCGUGGGCCGCGGCGCGGCAGCGGUACCGGGAGGCCAGGCAGGUCCUCGAGGAGAUGCUGGCGGAGCUGCGGCAGGCCUGGGGCGCGGACACCCCCGGCGAGGCGGCCCCGGCACCGGGCACAGCGCGGGAGCCUCCGGCCGGCAGCGCCGCCGGCUCCCCGCGGGAAUCGCGGGAAUCGCAGGAAGGCGAAGCCGCCCGCCGCAGCCGCACGCCCGCCGGCGGCUCUCUCCCAAAACCCGACCGCGGAGCCUCUCCAGCUCCCGGAGGGAGCCUCUCCCGGCCCGUUCGGGGGUGUCCCCGCGCUCCCCCCGCCCAGACGCGCUGCGCCGACCGGCCGCGUCCCACCGCCCCCGGCGAGCCCCCGGCAGAAGCCGCCCAGUACUUCCAGGUUUCCAGCCGGAGCAGCCUCUCCUCGGACGACUCGGACUCGCCCGCCUCCGCGGAGGAGGCCCCCGCGCCGCCCUGCCCCUCCGCCAAGCCCCCGCGCGUCCUCUACCUGGAGAAGCACCGUGCCGAUGGCCCGGCCGCGGCGGGCGCCGAGUGAACCGGACCCCGGCACGGACGCGCUGCUGACCCGCCGGGACCACUGCCCGGCACUUGGAUUAUUUCUGUACCCGACGCUCGCCCCGCUGGGAGAUGGCAGUAACCCCAUUUCCCAGCCCCGGGAGGCCGAGAUGGAUUAUUCUAAUUAAUUCGGCGAGCUUUUCAGCCCGGCUGGGAACAGAUAGCUGCUGAUACGCGAGGCGGCAGCCAGAUCGGGAUCUCAUUUAUCCCAUCGUAUAAUUCAAGAAAUGAAAUCUCUCCAGCGGCUGCGAGUAAAAGUUCUUAUUGAUUCCCCAGCGCUUCACUUGUUCAUAAGAACAACACCUGCGGUGCUCCAGAAGAUGCUUUAUGCUUUGCUAUUUUCUUAUGCUAUUUCCAGGGGUUAUACGAGAUCAGAGCGCCGAGGUGACCUAGAUACACGACCGGGUAGACACGGUGAGGGAGAGCCGUGCAUUUUAUGGCCCGACUUUGGACGGUUGCCUCUUUCCUUUACCGUGGCAAGCAACAUCUCUUUUAGCUCCUGCACUGAAAUGAGAGGCGCACACCAUCUCUCGUUUAUUUUACUUGUGUUUAAAUAGACAAUUUCCUGGGAGACCUUUGAAAAAGCCCUAAAAUCCAUUCUGUUGUUCUUCAUUACCAUCACACAUGGACCAAAGCCAGCUCCUGCCUCCCCACGUCCCUGCACCUCGCCUGCAGAGGUUUCGGCAUCCGGGCCCGCGUUCUGCGGCAGCCGGCGCUCGGUGCCCGCGGCCGCAGCCCUCCGAAGCCGCCCGGGCGCGGCGGGGGCCAUCCCCGACCGGGGACACGGGCCGUUUGCUUCUGCGGGUCCUCCUACUCGCACCCGAUCGCCCGGGAAAAUGAGGGGAGAAAAACAGUCACCGACCGGAGCGGCUCCUCGCCGGUCCGGUGCCAGCACGAGUCCGACCCGCGGUGCCGCUGCCCCUGGCAGGGCGAUGCCGGCUGCAGGGCUUGGCUCGCGGGGCGGGCGGCUGCCGGGGGGCACCCGGUCCCGGCUGCGGCUGCGGGGGGCCGGGGGCCACGUCCCGGCGCUCCGGGGGCCUCGGGGAGGUUCGUCCCCGCGGGGGGCAAAUUCGGCACGAACCCAGGCCGGAGAGGGGAGAGGGGACAAGGGACGCGCGGGCGUCCCAGGGGCGCGGACCGGGCCGGCGCUUCGCAGGGAGCACGAGCCGGGCCCGGCCCCGGCCCCGGGGGGGUCUUUCCCUCCCCGCUGCACUGCUUUCUGCUGCUCCGAAAAGGUUUUGGUUUUGGUUAUUACCCUGAGGGGGAGCAGCACUUCCUAUAGCAAAACAGAAUAAAUAAUAUUGCAAAAUGCAGUUGAAAUCUUUUCUUCUGAAUAAAAUAAACAAUGAA